rnacentral:sRNA from 1 species
CCACCACUCUGAAUGUAGUGCACACUUAAGAAUUUAUAUGGAUCAGCGUUGAGGCUGAGACAUGUUCUUUUAUAACUUGUGACGUAGCGAGCGUUUGAGAUAUCUAUCUAAACGUGUCGUUGAGGCUAAGGCGGGGACUUCGAGUCCCUAAAUAAUUGAGUCGUAUGUUCGCGUUGGUGGCUUUGUACCCCACACAACACGACAGAUAGCUCCGAGGCAACUUGGGGUUAUAUGGUCAAGCGAAUAAGCGCACACGGUGGAUGCCUAGGCGGUCAGAGGCGAUGAAGGACGUGGUAGCCUGCGAAAAGUGUCGGGGAGCUGGCAACAAGCUUUGAUCCGGCAAUAUCCGAAUGGGGAAACCCACUGCUUCGGCAGUAUCCUGCAGUGAAUUCAUAGCUGCUGGAAGCGAACCCGGUGAACUGAAAUAUCUAAGUAACCGGAGGAAAAGAAAUCAACCGAGAUUCCCUAAGUAGUGACGAGCGAACGGGGAGCAGCCCUUAAGCUGGAAUGGCUUUAGAAAAACAAUCUGGAAAGAUUGGCCAUAGAAGGUGAUAGCCCUGUAUUUAAAAGGGCCACUCCAGUGAAGACGAGUAGGGCGGGGCACGUGAAACCCUGUCUGAAUAUGGGGGGACCAUCCUCCAAGGCUAAAUACUCCUGACCGACCGAUAGUGAACCAGUACC